AUUGAACGCUGGCGGCAUGCUUUACACAUGCAAGUCGAACGGCAGCGGGGAGGAGCUUGCUUCUCUGCCGGCGAGUGGCGAACGGGUGAGUAAUACAUCGGAACGUGUCGAGAAGAGGGGGAUAACCACCCGAAAGGGUGGCUAAUACCGCAUAAAUUCUGAGGAAGAAAGCUGGGGACCUAGGAAUAGGCCUAGCGCUUUUUGAGCGGCCGAUGUCGGAUUAGCUAGUUGGUGAGGUAAAGGCUCACCAAGGCGAGGAUCUGUAGCGGGUCUGAGAGGAUGAUCCGCCACACUGGGACUGAGACACGGCCCAGACUCCUACGGGAGGCAGCAGUGGGGAAUUUUGGACAAUGGGGGCAACCCUGAUCCAGCCAUGCCGCGUGUAUGAAGAAGGCCUUAGGGUUGUAAAGUACUUUUGUUAGGGAAGAAAAGUCAGCUGUGAAUAAUGGCUGAUACUGACGGUACCUAAAGAAUAAGCACCGGCUAACUACGUG
rnacentral:rRNA from 1 species